AUCUAAAUAGCUUAAGAAGAGUUUAAUAUUGAAGAUAUUAAGGUAAUAGAUUUAUUUUUAGAUA
rnacentral:tRNA from 1 species